rnacentral:lncRNA from 1 species
AGCCCUCGCGGCCAUCUAUUUCGUGGCCGGUGGCUGUUUGCCUGCCAGAGGCCAGCGGGGGCGGUCCAGUCCCUGGCUCUAGGAGCUGUUUCUGGCCGAGCUGAGCGCGGCGGGCUCGGCAUAGCCAUGAGUUGCUGAACUGGGUGGUUUUGCGGACCUGACGAUUCGCCAUACCCCGCUUGGUGUGUCACUGCCGUGGGCGUCUCCAGGUAGCCUCAGCCCAGGGGAUACCUGGAGCGGCAGCUUAGAGCAUCUUCCGGGAGCAUCCGCCGGCGGCCUGGGCACCUCCCCAUCAGCCCCUGCCGUGCCACCCCAGCCUGGGCCUUGAGGCCCGGAGAUCUGAGCACUUCGGGACCUAUCCCUCAGCCUAACCAUCUUGGUUCAGCUCUGUGACACUGGGCCAAGUGACCUUGAGAAAAGACAGGGCCGGGCGCGGUGGCUCACGCCUGUAAUCCCAGCACUUUGGGAGGGUGAGGUCUUGAGGUCAGGAGUUCGAGACCAGCCUGGGCAACAUGGUGAAACCUCGCCUCUACUAAAAAUAUAAAAAUUAGCCGGGCGUGGUGGCAGGUGCCUGUAAUCCCAGCUACUCGGGAGGCUGAGGCAGAGGCAGAGGCAGGAGAAUCUCCUGAAUCCAGGAGGUGGAGUUUGCAAUAAGCUGAGAUCACACCACUGCAUUCCAGUCUGGGCAACGAAGGGAGACUCCAUCUCAAAACAAAACAAAACAAAAAAACACAGAAACAAAAACCCACUUCUAAUUGCUGCUACUCAGCAUAUACAUUCAGGGAAACUUGAAUCUAUGCUCCUGGGUGGCCAUCCUCAAGCUUUGGGCUUGAAUAAACUCUAUAGCUAGUCAUAUUUUCUAUAUCUUAUUAUUUAAGGUUGACAAACUUCAGAAGCUUCUUUGCCCUUCUGGUACUGAUAAUACCAACAGUGAAUAAUAAGUGACAUUGUUAUUGGUUGCUUACUUCCUACCCCUGAUAAAUGGUCUAAUGUUGAAAUCUAAGAGGUAUAAUAGUUAUUACAUGCAUUUAGUAGAAUGGGUAUAAUGAAUGAGGAAAUAGGCUCAGGGAAGAAUUUGAUUUGCUCUGACACAGCUCUACAGGGCCAGAUUUCCAACCCAGGCUAGUCAAGUCCAGAGCCUGCAAUUUUCACUUCAAGUCUUCCUGUGAGGAUUGACAAGAGGAUGUUCAGUCUUAGCCAGGUGCCUGGCAGCUACUGAGGGCCCAGUGGAGGUUAGUGGGCAAAUCAUCAUAGUAGUUUCAAUAAGCAAUAGUUCUAUCAGUAUCAAAGAGUGGCUGUGGUCAGAGCUUUGUAAGAGACACAUUGCCGUGUUUACUUAGGACAGGAACAAUCUGGAGUUUGUUUCCACCACUCCCUGGAGUUUCAAGUCCUUAAAAAUGUUCAAGCUGGUUUGGCUUUGUGUCUUCUAUUUCCUGUUUACACUUUGCCCCACCUCUAUUUUUGCCCCUUCUUCCCCCUCUUCUAGUUAUACCUAACACCACUGCUGACGCUCUUCGCUUCUGAAAAAUGGCCAGCUUUCUGCCCUCAAUUUAAAGGGAUCAAUCAGUGGCCCCAGAAGUUCUUAUUUUUCUUGGCUAAAAUGAAAAUGGUGAAAACACCAACCACAAAAGGCAGACUCUUGUUAAUGGGGGUCCUAAAUGUGAAAGGGAGAACUUACCUGGCCCAUGAGUAUCUGUUUGGCUUUCAGGGGAGACAGCCGUCUGUGUUCUUCCUAAAUGUCAGCUUAUACCACUCUGGGGUUUGGGGAUUCCUGCCUGAUUCUCCAUUUCCUUGCCUAUGAAAUGAAUAAUAUUAGUCACGUCCGAGUACCACCUGCAUUUUUUUUAAAGUGCUUCUUAAAUUGAUUUUUUUAGUUGAUUUACUUAUAUUUACUUUUAAAAUCUGUAUGUCAUUACUUUAAUGGAAAACCACUAUCACCUGGCGUAAAUAGAAAGUAAGAAACCACAUAAAGAGAUGAAAAUUAAAAUAUUGUUUUCAAUUCUAGUGGGCAAAACCUUGAUCUCUUUGUUAAAAAGGGAAACUGUUGAGUUUUAGUGAGGUGUUGAAGAAUGCAAGCACUAAACUGCAAGUUUCUCCUGUGGGUAAUCAGGAUUGAACGUACUGAAAAGGGGAGAACUUGGACGUGCUGCAGUUCUGUGUUUAAUACUCUGCUUGGUAGCACCUAAAGUCACACAGCACAGUACCAGCACUUCACUCUUUCCACAUGUGGAGAAACGGUGGCCGCAGUAGUCCUUGGAGCCUUCAGUGCUCAUGUCUAAUAACAAGCAUUUGCUCUGAUUCUCUUAGGGUCGGUGGGGCAGGUGGGAUGGGGUGCAAAUGGAUCUAAGAGCAGGAUAAUAACAAGAGCUAAUAUCUGAUAGGGUUUUUGCAGUUCACAAAGCUCUCUCACAAGCCUGCUACUUCUGUACUCCCACCUGCGCUAUUCCUCCUCUGCAUUAUCGCCAUCUCAGGCAUAGGUGAGAUGAGCUGUUCAGCAGGAUUUGAUAUGUACCAAAAGCUGUUCUACUACUGCUGCAUCCUCCCAGGACCCCAAGAAGCAAGCGGGGAGCAGCUAUUCUCAUCUUACUUUCUGGAGCAGGAGAGGCUUGACUCACAGAGGCAAGCGACCCCAUUUCUGGACCAGUCUCUGCACUGUCAAACAGUGUCUGAAUAGGAAGGGGAUGUUGGAAGAGGGUUUUACAUGGAGCAAAACGUGGAUAAUGACACGCUAGCGGCAAGCCAAGGAGGUUAGGGGAUCCAGGUUCUACACCAGAAGGGGCCCAACUCAAAGUGGUGAAGUCGCUGGCUGCUGCCUUUCACCAGCUGCCUUUCUCCCGCUGCCAGCUGAGGACCUGCACCCUUCCAGGAUGGAGAUGGGGACAGGGGCAGGCAACAUUACUCUUCUUGUAGUUCUCUGCCCAAAAAUCUAGGCUUCUCAGGCCUGCUUCCCACAACACACACACACACACCCCAACAUGGAGCCUCUUGGCUUACCUUCGGGUUACCAUGGCGGGAGCAGAAUGGAGCUCUAUCUUCUUACCAUGAAGUUACACAGAUAUCAUUAUCUUGAAACCUCUUAAGAGGUAAAAAGGUGGCCAGCCAUUGACCAGAGAGGACCCUUGGCCCCUGCCUAUCAUCUGUCACGCAUGUCCUGAGGGGGUGGGAAAUGGUUAAAGGGAGAGAGGAAAGGGAGCCCCCUAAAUCUCUACCAAUCCUGGCUAUAUAUCCUAAUAAGGCUCAGCUAUGCAUAUUUAGGAAGACAGAGGAGAGGGAAAUAGGAAGAGAGGUACAAAUAAUGAGGAAAGCAAGAGGUCUGCCUGGCUCAAAGGAAGUGAAUUCAAACUUCUAGUAAUGAAAAUGGGCCCAGGACAAUAAUACAAAUGGAGGCCCUAUACCAGGUGUUUUCAUAUGUAAGUUACACAUCAAUGACUAAACUUAAAAUAUCUUCUCCCUUCUACCUUGACACAUAUAUACCUUUAUAACAACCUGGAAGGUCAGGUUGGAAUCUAGAAUUCUCUGACUUCUCAGAAUUCUGCUCAGUCCCACAUCUAGAAGGGUCUCCUGUGAACGAAUGUAGAUAUCCCAACCUAUAAGUCCCAACUCUGCACCCCUUGCAAACAGCCAUUCCUUGCACCCAGGUGUGCCCUUAGCAGUCUGCCCUUGGGGCCAUGGGUCUGGGAAAAGGCCUUCCCAGCCCUUCCUUAUAGGUUCAAGCCCAUUUAGGCAAGGGAUUCAAGUGUCCCACGUACCCAGAGCAUGGCAGAAGGGAAGAGGGCUGUGAGCUCCUGGUUAUCAUGUCCCUUUGGUCCUACAGACUCCUUGUCCCAUAGGAUGGGGUGCAAAUGGAUCUAAGGGCAGGAUAAUAAUAAGAGCUAAUAUCUGAUACGCUUUUUGCAGUUCACAAGGCACUCUGACAGGAUCAGAAUGUCGAGGCAUGCAGGAUUAAUAUCUCCAUUUUACGGAUGAGGAUACUGAGGUUCAGAGUUCUCUGAUUCCAAGCCCUGUGUCCUGACUCCCCUAUUUCAAGAAUCGAGGUGGCUGUUCCUUACCCAACAGGGCAGAGCCUGAGGUUCUUGAGCAGCAGAAAGCAAGGAAAGGGAAAUUUCCCGACAUCCUCACAACAGGCCAGGGCCAGCACACUUUGACAUUUGACCUGUCCUAUUCCUUUCUCCCAGAGCUUUAUAAGCAGAAAGCAAGCCACAGACAUCUGUCUUCUGAAAGACAAGGCCAGAGUUCUGCAUUCGUAAUUCACACAACAUUAUUAGAAAAUGCAGUCAAUUCAGUUUCUGUUUGAAAAAGUGUUGCUGGUUGGUAAUGGCUCAUUUCCCCUUUUUGAGUCUCAGCAAAGACUCAGAAAAUGAAAAACAGUUAACAUCACCUCAGCAGCUAAUGAAUUCCAGAGGACAGAUAGGAGGUGUGACUACACCCUGGUAGGAGGCAGCCCCGCACCCCUCACCCACUGCUCCCCAGUUACAGGAAUGCCUGCGAGGGGGUGAGAUCACAGCGCCUUCCAGCCUGUCAUCGCACGCAUGCCUUGAGACUUGCCCCUCAGCCUCACUGUCUCGCCCCCGCCCCUGUCCCUCCUCCCUCCUCAAUAUUGAUGGUGUUGGGCCUCAGCUGAAGGGAGCAGGUGGGAAAGACACAAGUGAGGAGUAAAGCCACCAGGCGCCAACCUUGGGGCGUGGUGAAGAAGAUGAGCUUGGCACUUAAAAUGCAAAGGCCCUGCCCUGAAUCUGUGAUCAUUUUCAAGGAAGGUUGAGUGAGUGUCCACAAUGCAUUAGCUUCAUUAAAGACUUUCCGGUUCCUGAGGCCUCAACUGGAACAGCAGCAGAUGAAGCCCUCACUUUCUCUCCCCGGGCCAGGUGUGAGCUGAUGACAACCCCUCAUCACUCUUUGGUUUAGCACAGUGGUUCUCCUCGUGGGGUUCUCAGACCAGCAGCAUCAGCACCACCUGGGAACUUGUUGGAACUACAAAUUCUCAGGUCCCACACCAGACCUAUGGAAUCAGGGACUCUGGGAGUGGAUACAGCAAUCUGCAUUUACCAAGUGCUCCAGGUGAUUCUAAUGAGGACUGCUGCUAUUGUGACCAUCAGGCACUUGAGUCUUGGAGUCAGGCAGACCUGGGUUUGAAUCUCAGUUCUGCCACUUAGCAGCUAUGUGAGUCUUAGUUUUGGCACAUAUAAAAUGGGGAUAAUAAUCCUUCCACCUAGUGACUGAAUGGAUUAAGUAAGAUUAUGCAUUCACUUGCCCGGUUCAUAGUGCUCAAUAAGCAGUAGUUCCUCUAUUUCUCUGGAAAUCUGAUUAGACAGAGGGACUUCAAGAAGUUCACCGUGAAGAUGCUAACAGGCCAGUUCAGGUGUGUGGCUCCUGACUCACGCCUAAAGCCACCUCUUGCAUCCUGUGACCGAUGACUGGUUCUCACUACUUAACCAGGACUGAAACUGUCGAUAGAUCUGGUUUAUUCCCCAGCUCUCUAAAAGGAAUCCUCCUGCCUCUGAGAGCAGUGUGCAGACUUCCUCUUUGCAAUGAUUUCAUGAAACAGCAGGACCUGCUGCACUUGCAGGCAGAGCUCUGGAACUGGGCUAUUAUUUCUGUCGUUCUUCCUCAUUGAAAAAGUGGUCAGGAUAACCUCUGCCCUGCCAACCUCCAAGGGCGAUGGGAGGAGAAGUAAUCAUUUAGCCUGGAUGGAGAGCUUUAUAUGGAUUAAAUCAUUUAAUCUUCACAACAAUCCCAUGAGGAUAGACACACUGUCAAUCCCUUUUACAGAUAAGGAAACAGAGACACAGAGAGGUUAAGAAACCUGUCCAAGAUCACUGACUAAUAAGACAUAGAGUCGGGGUUCAAAAUCAGGCAGUCUGGCUUCUAAGUCCCUGCUCUUAAGCACUGUGCUCUGUCCAUUGCUCUGUCCAGGAACACCAUUAAACAGGACGGGUCACUGUAGCUUGGCACCCAGGGGCUCGGAAACCUUGGAAUGCAGACCUCUUUGACUAUCUGAUGUAAGCUAUAGCCCCUCUCCCAAAGCACAGAAACUUCUGCAUAUGAUCUCAGGGGUUCCAUGAAUCCCUCUUUCCACCCAGAGGCCCCAGAUUAAGACCCACAUAAGACUCUUAGAAGGAAGUAGCAAGGACAUCAGAAGUCUAGAGCCAUGAGAACAUUCUGCCCUGGUUAAACUCCAAGGAGUGGGGCGGGCUAGUGCAGUAGUGAUGGAGGCCGUUGGGUGAAAGUGCUGGGAAGAGGACCUCACAUCCUUCACCCUGGAGUGAGUGCAUAGGAAGUGGGCUAGGAACGUGGGGGCUUUUUCCAGAAUCGGAACAGCAAUCAGUAAGACCUAGUGCUUGAUGGAUCAGUAUUCACUACACUUUACAAUAAUCUAUCAUACAUUUCAAAAUAGCUAGAAGAGAAUCAUUCGGGCCAAGCGCGAUGACUCACACCUGUAAUCCCAGCACUUUGGGAGGCUGAGGUGAGUAGAUCGUUUGAGCUCAGGAGUUCGAGACCAGCCUGGGCAACAUAAAGAGACCCUGU